rnacentral:snoRNA from 1 species
GUCCAUGACUCCAUGGGGGCUGCCGCUCGUGGCUGUCUCCCUUCCUAGGCAUGGAAGAGCAGAGCCUUGCUGAUUGGCAUAGCUUGUACCUUCCUUGUGGGUAUGAGUCGUUGACUGUGGUAAGGAACAAGC